rnacentral:rRNA from 1 species
UACGUAGGGUGCGAGCGUUAAUCGGAAUUACUGGGCGUAAAGCGUGCGCAGGCGGUUCGUUGUGUCGGCGGUGAAAGCCCCGGGCUUAACCCUGGGAAUGGCCGUCGAAACUGGCGAACUGGAGUGUGGCAGAGGGGGGUGGAAUUCCGCGUGUAGCAGUGAAAUGCGUAGAGAUGCGGAGGAACACCGAUGGCGAAGGCAGCCCCCUGGGCUGACACUGACGCCUCAGGCACGAAAGCGUGGGGAGCAAACAGG